ACGGAGUUAGCCGGUGCUUAUUCAUAUGGUACCGUCAUUAUCUUCCCAUAUAAAAGGAGUUUACACNCCGAAAUGCGUCAUCCUCCACGCGGCGUUGCUGCAUCAGAGUUUCCUCCAUUGUGCAAUAUUCCCC
rnacentral:rRNA from 1 species